CCCGCGCUUCGGUUGKUACUAAGCCUGCGAGUCUUUGYAGUAAURCAAGGCAKACGGCUCAGUAACACGUAGUCAACCUACCCUAUGGACGAGAAUAAUCUCGGGAAACUGAGCAUAAUUCUUGAUAGAUCAUAAUGCCUGGAAUGGUUUAUGGUUAAAAUGAUUCGUCGCCAUAGGAUGGGACUGCGGCCUAUCAGCUUGUUGGUGAGGUAAUGGCCCACCAAGGCGAUUACAGGUACGGGCUCUGAGAGGAGAAGCCCGGAGAUGGGUACUGAGACACGGACCCAGGCCCUAUGGGGCGCAGCAGGCGAGAAAACUUUGCAAUGUGCGAAAGCACGACAAGGUUAAUCCGAGUGAUUUYUGCUAAAGAAAUCUUUUGCCAGUCGUAAAACCRCUGGUGAAUAAGGGGUGGGCAAGUUCUGGUGUCAGCCGCCGCGGUAAAACCAGCAYCUCAAGUGGUCAGGAUGAUUAUUGGGCCUAAAGCAUCCGUAGCCGGUUUUGUAAGUUNUCUGUUAAAUCCAUGUGCUCAACGCAU
rnacentral:rRNA from 1 species